rnacentral:rRNA from 1 species
GUCGGAAGACAAACGGCUGCGAAAGCGUCUGCCAAGGACGUUUUCAUUGAUCAAGAACGAAAGUAAGGGGAUCGAAGACGAUCAGAUACCGUCGUAGUCUUUACUAUAAACUAUGAGGACUGGGGAUCGGGCGGGAAUCAGAAUUGGCCCGCCCGGCACCCUUCGGGAAACCAAAGUGUUUGCUUUCUGGGGGGAGUAUGGUCGCAAGGCUGAAACUUAAAGGAAUUGACGGAAGGGCAUCACCGGGUGUGGAGCCUGCGGCUUAAUUUGACUCAACACGGGGAAACUUACCAGGUCCGGACAUAGUGAGGAUUGACAGAUUGAGAGCUCUUUCUUGAUUCUAUGGUUGGUGGUGCAUGGCCGUUCUUAGUUGGUGGAGUGAUCUGUCUGGUUAAUUCCGUUAACGAGCGAGACCUGGGCGUGCUAGCUAGGCGCGGUUACUAAUUUUGGUAGCGAGGCUGGCCUUCCUAGACGGACUGCGGGCGUCUAGCCCGCGGAAGCUCCAGGCAAUAACAGGUCUGAGAUGCCCUUAGAUGUUCUGGGCCGCACGCGUGCUACACUGAGCGGGCCAACGGGUGAGGAUGUGCGAGAGCGCUUCCCAAUCUCUAAAUCCGCUCGUGCUGGGGAUCGAGGCUUGCAAUUAUCCCUCUUGAACGAGGAAUACCUUGUAAGCACGGGUCAUCAUCCCGUGCUGAAUACGUCCCUGCCCUUUGUACACACCGCCCGUCGCUCCUACCGAUUGAGUGGUCCGGUGAGGCCUUGGGAGGGCUAAGUGGACUGUGUCUUCAUGGACCGCCUGGCCCGAACCUGGUCAAACCUUAUCACUUAGAGGAA